rnacentral:rRNA from 1 species
GUGUCAGCAGCCUCGGUAAUACGUAGUUGUCAAGCGUUGUCCGGAAUUAUUGGGCGUAAAGGGCUCGCAGGCGGCUCCUUAAGUCUGAUGUGAAAGCCCCCGGCUCAACCGGGGAGGGUCAUUGGAAACUGGGGAACUUGAGUGCAGAAGAGGAGAGUGGAAUUCCACGUGUAGCGGUGAAAUGCGUAGAGAUGUGGAGGAACACCAGUGGCGAAGGCGACUCUCUGGUCUGUAACUGACGCUGAGGAGCGAAAGCGUGGGGAGCGAACAGGAUUAGAAACCCGAGUAGUCC